GAGAAAUACCGACCUGCUAUUCCUCAUUCACAUAUAAGGGACUCAGGACUACACGCAAGGCCCGGCCUGGACAUCCUGUCAUCCCCUCCCCCUCAGAGCCCCUCUCUCCCGGCAGGCCGGUCCAGAGAGCAACCAGCCCCCCCCCCCAAUGGACACCCUGCCCUAGCCUUGCCUUGGCUCGCUGUCAGCAGAGCUGACAUCAAACGCCUCCUGAAACCAGGGUUCCCCCCAUGGCAUUUGAAGUGUGGGGGACCAUUGUUUUCCA
ensembl:lncRNA